rnacentral:rRNA from 1 species
UGCAGGGGGUGCAAACGUUGCUCGGAAUUAUUGGGCGUAAAGCGCGCGUAGGCGGCUACUUAAGUCGGAUGUGAAAGCCCCUGGCUCAACUGGGGAAGUGCACCCGAAACUGAGUAGCUUGAGUGCAAAAGAGGGCCGCGGAAUUCCCGGUGUAGAGGUGAAAUGCGUAGAUAUCUGGAGGAACACCGGUGGCGAAGGCGCUCUGCUAGGCCGCAACCGACACUGAGGGACGAAAGCUAGGGGAGCGAAUGGG